CAGCAUUAUGGGGGACGGUUGGGUGUACUCGUAUACCAGACAGGAUUUGACAUAUUAUUUCAAGAAUCAUAACACGCAAUCGAAACGGCUCCCUUGGACACCUAGGACAGGUACCUGAGAGAGAAGAACAGAGGAACAGCGAGAGAGAACGAGAACGAGAACGCUUGAGUUCAUCAAGACUGUCUAAGGCCCAGGCCCCAUCCCUGGUAGGAGGUGCUGCUCUGAUGGAGAGGCGCUGAUGCCCAAUCCACUGUCCUCAGACCGUAGAGGCAGUAACACC